AACCAGGGCACGUGAGUAUCUACGCAUAUCAUAUUAACGCCAGGGUCGUCAACAAGUUAUAUUUUGGAUACUAGAAGAACGGAAAUGGAAUCAAAAAAAGAGAAAGCCUUUGAUAUAGAUGUUGAAUUUAAAGAAAGAUUGAAUUUAACAAAACAGGGUAUGACUAAAAGGAUGGAUAAAUGGGCUGCUGAUUACGAUUCAGCUAUGGCGUCCAUAGUUUACACAAACCCAGAAGUCGUUAGUCAAAUUGUUGGUGAACAUUUUCCUACUAAUAGAGAAUAUGUUAAAAUUGUUGAUGUUGCUUCCGGUACCGGAUUAGUAGGAAUUGAGUUAAAUAAAAUUGGUUUUAAACAAAUAGAUGCCAUGGAUCCAAGCCCUGGAAUGAUGAAAGUGGCUAAAAGUAGAAAUGUGUAUGAUAAAUGUUAUAUAGAUUAUGUUGAUGGACAUCCUCUGUCAAUAGAUACAGAUACCUACGAUUGUGCCGUAGUGGUGGCUGGUUUUUCAAUGGGUCAGGUACCAACCAACGCUUUGUUUAAACUCAUCAGAAUUGUUAAACCAGGUGGUUUUAUUUUUAUCAACAUGAUGGAAAGUAACCUAGUUCGGGUUGAAGAAUUCAAAGACAGAUUAGAACCUUUAUGGGAGAGAUUUACAAAUAAUGGUGUUUGGGAAAUUGUUAACAGGGAAAUCAAGCCCCCAGGUGACUUGAUGCUAAGUGCCAAAGUUUUGGUUUCUGAUACAACACUGCCAAGACUUCCCUCCGUUGACAAUUCUUAGAGUGAAUAAGCAUUAUCGUCAACAGUUAUUAUCCCAAUGAAUUAAUUAUUAAUUAAUUAUAGCUGUGUGUACUGAUUAAAUUAAUAUUCUUAUAUCUACAGUACUACUAGCAAAUAUACUCAAGUUUAUCAAACAUAAUCGUAUUAAAUCACUUCUUUCAUCGCAUUUAUAACUACACUUGACCAUUUCCUUUUUUUCUGUGUGUUUAAAAAAGUUUAUAACAAGAAAGUUUUAUUUAUUUAUUAAACAAAGAAGAAGUGGAAUUAUUGUG